rnacentral:rRNA from 1 species
UCUGGUUGAUCCUGCCAGUAGUCAUAUGCUUGUCUUAAAGAUUAAUCCAUGCAUGUGUAAGUAUAAGUAUUGUACAGCGAAACUGCGAAUGGCUCAUUACAUCAGUUAUAAUUUAUUUGAUAAUCGAAAGUUACAUGGAUAACCGUGACAAAUUACAGCUAAUACAUGCAGUCAGACCUGGUCCAAGGGUCGUAAUUAUUAGUAUUAAACCAUUUCCGCAAGGAGUGUGAUGAAUCAUAAUAAUCGAACGAAUCGCCUGGUGUGCGAUAAAUCAUUCAAGUUUCUGCCCUAUCAGCUUUGGAUGGUAGUGUAUUGGACUACCAUGGCAGUCACGGGUAACGGAGAAUUAGGGUUCGAUUCCGGAGAGGGAGCCUGAGAAACGGCUACCACAUCUACGGAAGGCAGCAGGAGCGAAAAUUGCCCAAUCCCGACACGGGGAGGCAGUGACGAGAAAUAACAACUCUUGGUUAUUCUAAGAAGUGUAAUGAGGAUAAUUUAAAACCCUUACCGAAAGCAAUUGGAGGGCAAGUCUGGUGCCAGCAGCCGCGGUAAUUCCAGCUCCAAUAGCGUAUAUUAAAGUUGUUGCAGUUAAAAAGCUCGUAGUUGAAGUUCUGGCUGUUCGGUCCUCGAGCUUCGUAGCCGAGGAAUCGACAGUCAUCCGCUUGCAAAUAUAUGUUCGCCUUUAACCGGGCGGCUAUAUGAGCAAGCAUUUUACCUUGAGAAAAACAGAGUGUUCCAGGCAGGUUUGUCCGGAAUGCAUUAGCAUGGAAUAAUAGAAUAUGACUGAAGUCGAUUUAUUGGUUUGAGGCUUUAGUAAUGAUUAAUAGGAACAGUCGGGGGCAUUGGUACUUGUCAGUCAGAGGUGAAAUUCUAGGAUUUGACAAAGACUAACAAAUGCGAAAGCAUUUGCCAAGGAUGUUUUCAUUAAUCAAGAACGAAAGUUAGGGGAUCAAAGACGAUCAGAUACCGUCCUAGUCUUAACUAUAAACUAUACCGACUCGGAUUCAGAUGAAUCAUAAAGUUCAUUUGGGACCGUAGGAGAAAUCAAAGUUUUUGGGUUCUGGGGGAAGUAUGGUCGCAAGGCUGAAACUUAAAGGAAUUGACGGUUUUGCACCACCAUGGAGUGGAGUCUGCGGCUUAAUUUGACUCAACACUGGGAAACUCAUCAGGGCAAGAAGAUUGUAGGAUUGACAGAUUGAGAGUUCUUUCUUGAUUGGUCUAGUGGUGGUGCAUGGCCGUUCUUAGUUGGUGGAGUGAUAUCGUGACUGGGAAAC